UACGUAGGGGCCAAGCGUUGUCCGGAUUUAUUGGGCGUAAAGAGCGCGCAGGCGGUCGUUCAAGUCGCGUGUGAAAGCCCCCGGCUCAACUGGGGAGGGUCACGCGAUACUGAUCGACUCGAAGGCAGGAGAGGGAAGUGGAAUUCCCGGUGUAGUGGUGAAAUGCGUAGAUAUCGGGAGGAACACCAGUGGCGAAGGCGACUUCCUGGCCUGUUCUUGACGCUGAGGCGCGAAAGCUAGGGGAGCAAACAGG
rnacentral:rRNA from 1 species